CGUCUGCCAUGAACUCCUCUGUUCUCAGAGUGGACACAAUCGGCUCGGCUUUUUUCCAUUGUACUGCCAAAAUUCACCGAUUUCGAGCGCCAAAGGCAGCUUUUCAGAGGGAAUACAGAGGACUUAGGUGUGUCUGCAGGGAGGACUUGUCUAGCUGCUUUGCUGAUUCCUACACAAAAGCCCAGCUCCCAUGGCAGGGGUCCUCCGAGGGGAAAGAACAAAGCUACAGGACACCAGAAACCCCAUGAGCCAUCCAAAAACAUGAGGCAAAUGCUGAAAGAAUUGCUGCAGGGAGGAGGACAAGAAGUGGAUGGAGAGGCUGGGCAGAAGGCGGCGUUUACCAGAGGAAGCAGUGGCUCCAUGACAGCCUCUGCUGUAGGACUGGAGGCGAUGCCAGGCACAGGCCCAGGAGGUUGGGAACAAGACAUGGAUUAUCUGGGAAACCUGCUGGAUUAUGGCUUGAGACUCAUGGGAAAUCCUGGAGGCAAGUGCUCAAUGUACCUUUCCUGAGAGAAUACGCAGUGAGCAG